CAUUCUACCUCUGAGGAGAGGAAUUGAAAAGCAACAUUUCAAAGGGCAUGCAUGCAAUGGAGGAGUGAAGAAAUGGGAACAAUAACGUUAUCUACCACAGCUAUCCAUUUGGGACUUUCCAGCUAACUUCCAACUGGUGGUGGGAGAGAGAUAUUUCUUCUCAAAGUGGCUGACGACAGAAAUGAUUUGACCCUGCAGGGUUUCUUCUUCGCUCAAGACUGGUUGUGGAGCAGCAAAAAGGUAGUUCCAAAGAACUGCUGGUUCAGAUUUUAGCUCCUGCCAAGUUGUGAAAGUAGUGGAGGAUGCUUAGACUACUUAAUGUCCAAAUUUUCUCAGGUUAAUCAUCUUUAGAAGACUGGAUUUUUGGAUAAAUACUCCACUCCAUCACUAUUGACUUUUAAAACGUAAUAAUGCAAACCUAUACCACUGGCAAGAGUCCAUGAACUUUUGAUUACAUUGAUUAACAGCGCUUGGAGCUUCCUCAGGGAAUAAACAAUGACAUCAGCAGUGGUUGACAGUGGAGGUUCUAUUUUGGAGCUUUCCAGCAACGGAGUAGAAAAUCACGAGGUUAGACAUCCAAUUUAUUACAUUUCUGUUUUGUUCACAGAAAUCAAUAAUUUUGAAAUGAAUGAGAAACAGGUAUUAUGAGAGUAGAAAUAUACAAUGCAUGAAAUUGCACAUGUAUAUGUCAUAUAUCUUCUUAAAAUUUAGGUAAUAGAAGGUUGAGGAAAAUACUGCAGGGCUCACCUGAGUUGAUAGAACGUACAUAUAUUAGAAUGAAACUUGAAGAAAAAAAUUGAAAUGUAAGAAGUAACACUAGUUGAGACAUAGACUUAAAUAUCUAAUAAGAUAUAUUAUUUUGGAUUAUAGAGUUCUGUAGAUAUAUACUGUACCUGAAUACCUGCAUUAGAUUAAUCUCCAAUAGAAUUUUGUGUUCGCUUUACUUGUCAUCUCUGUUUCUUGAUUAUUAUAUCUAAUUCGGUGUGGGGAUCCAUCAUAUUUUAAUCUAAUAUAUACACUUAUUCAUUUGGAUAAUUAAUAAAUCAUUAUACAUGUAAACUUUUGAAUCAUUAGCACAUAUUGUUAUUUUCCUGUUAUUGAUAACAUUGAUGAAUAAGAGAUGGGAGUAGGUAAUAACAGUAACAGAAGUAUGUGAAAUAUGUAACAGAAAUAUGUGUACCAUUCAAUAAAAAUUGAAUAUUAGAAGGGAUCUAAAUUAUAAUACAAUAAUGCUGUGACAGUAAUGGACAAAUAUUGAUCCAUAGAUGAGGUUGGAAAAUGGAGCAUUUAUGGCAUUAAAAAAAAAUUUGUUUUCUCUAUUUUCUAUGAAAGAUACUGCUGUUAUUGAUAGUACUAGUGUAGUGGUCUGUGUAUUCUGGACUCUGGAUUCUUUUUCUUGGUAUCUGUUCAGUUUUCCAGAUUAGCUUAUGGGCAAACAUGAACUGAAUAAAAAAGAAAAAGUUGUGAUCAUAUCUGUAGUUACUGAAAACCCAUUUGCAAAAUUGUACACCCAUUCAUUAUACUAACUCCCUAAAGUAACAAUAAAAGACAACUUCUUCAGCCUGAUAAAGUCAUCUGUAGAAUACCCAUUACCAACAUUAUAUUUAAUGGUGAAAGACUGAAUGUUUUCUUUUUAAGGUUGAUAACAAGGCAAGGAUGUCUACUCUGAGCAUUUCUAUUGCAACAUUGCAUUGGCAUACCUAGCCAUUUCAGUAAGGCACAACAAAUAAAAAACCCACAGACUGGAAAGGAAGAAGGAAAACUGUCUUUAUUUCUAGAUGAUAUGAUCAUGUACAUAGAAAAUCUUAAGGUGUCUGUGCAACAGCUGCUAGAACUAAUAAAUUUAGACAAGCCAGAGCAUACAAGAUUAAUAUGUAAAAAUCAAAUGUAUUUAUAUAUGCUAGCUACAAACAAUUGCAAAAUGAAAUUUAAAAACAAUACUAUUCAACAGAGCAUCAAAAAAAUGUAGGGAUAAGUUUAAUAAAAUAUGUGUAUACUGUAUACUUGUAGAAAACUAUAAAACAUUUUUGAGAGAAAUUAAAGAAGACCUAAAUAAAUGGAGAUAUAUACCAUGUUCAUGGAUUGGAAACUUACUAUAGUUAAAAACAAAGUUGGAGGGUUUACACACCUUAUUUAAAUACUUACUAUAAAGCUCCAGUAUUUGUGACAGUGUGGUAUUGGCAUACCAGUAGACAUAUAGAUCAAUAGAACAUAAUAUAGACCCACACAUAUAUGGCUG